GCGGAGGACAAGGGUUUGCGGGGGAGGAAAAGCUUCGUAGAGAGAAGACUGGGGACCAGGGGACUCACUCGGGUCCAGCAGGCGGGCUCGGGUCAUUUCCAUAAGAAAGCCGCAACCCAGCUGGAGGCUGAGGCUCUCCCGGGCCUCCCUGCCCCCACCGCCGGUGGCUGCCCGACUUCGGCUCCUCUGGAGCCCAGAUUCAGGCAAGCGCCGCGGUGGGGGUUGACGUUGCUGAGACGUGGCUUCCCGCACUGCCCGACUGGGGAUCCGUUUCUAGUCUCGAGGGAGUGGACCUACCGCACGGGGUGAGUCCAGGGCGUUACUGAGCCUGCACGGGGCAAGGAGAGCUCCGGGAAGCUAGCCCGCAUUGGGCACCCUGAAUCACCAAGUCCUGCAGAAGGACUUUGAAGCGGGAUAUGGGUGGGAGUGCUGGGAGAAAGCCCCAGAACCCAGGAUGUCUGCGGGGUGCUCUUCCAAAUCCCCAGAGCUUUCGCUUUCAGCGGGUGACCGACCCUCUUCCUGCGAAGGGGUGGAAAGUGAACUUGGUCAGACACUUGAUCUCACUAGCGAGCCCGUUCCUUCUCUGUUUACACCGAGUUCUUCGCUGUUUUUAACGCGCAUGAUGAUAGCCACGAUAGCCAUGAAUCUUCAGUCACACACACACACACACACACACACACACACACACACACACACGGUACUUUAUGACCUCAUCUAGAGAAAUCAAAACCCAGAUCUGUACUGUUUAUUCUUAAAUGUACAGAAAAGCAGAGGAGCGAAUGUGAGACAGAUGUCUAUCUGCACUUUGCCUUCUGCUGGGGAAAGUUGCCUGAAAAUGACUAGCUUCCUUUUACGGAUCCUAAACCACCUGUAUUUUGCCACAAAACUAAGUUGGGUCACUAAUAAAGCACCAGUUACAUGGAUCAACGAGAUACCAAUUAUGCCUAUUAACGACUUUAUUACUUACGAUUAUAGUCUAGAACUUCAAACUCGGACAAUACAAUCAAGUGAUUUUUAAAAUCGGUUGCCUAAGAUUGUUUACAUCAUCCCUCCCCUAAACCCGCAGGAAGUUAGAAAACUACAUGAUGUUUUAAGGAGUGUGUGUGUGUGUGUGUGUGUGUGUGUGUGUGUGUGUGUAUUCCUUGUCAAUGCUGAAUUUGUUUCUUUCAGUAAAGUUCGUUGCUACUUCUGGUAAGUAAUGGAAUCUUGAUUUCAGAUCCUUUCAAGUUCUGCAGACUGUCAUUGACUAUGGUGGUUACAACCGACUUGGUUUGGAAGUGGACUUGGGGCAAGGUGAGGGUACACUCUCCCAGUGUUCUGGUAGUGGCGAAGACCGGAGGUCAUUUAAAAGAACAAGUUGUUUUAACUUCUUACUUCAGAUGGGGCAAGGCCUGCCUGGGUGGGGGUGUGGAGAACGAGAGGGUGAAAAAGAUGGAACCUAGGAGAAAAUGAAGAACUGGUGCUAUGUUUUUAGUGGUUUUAGCUGGUGAGCUCACGGGCCUCUGGUGAGUCAGAUGAAAGGAACCGAGUGGCUGUCUGAAGAGGGGCAAGUAUCAGAGGAGUUUAUCAGUUUCAGGGCUACUGUGUGGCUGGGCCUGCUUUUUCCAGGAGGCCAUCUGCCACUUCUCUCUGUCUCUUUGCCAGCCUCUUGUUAUCCCCAAGUGGAGAACCACGCUCAGUUGUGUGUGCAGGGGAGGCAUGGAGCAAAGGAGGGAAUUAAAUUGCUCUUCAAGUCCACAGUUAGAAAGGGGGGGGGGCAACUUAACACAGGUCCUUCUACCUCUCGGAAACAGAGCACUGGGAUUGUUCGUGCAACGAAAUUGAAGUCUGUCUUGCUCAAGACAUCUGCCCAGCACUUCAGCUCCUGGGUGGAAGCCCAUAACACCAGGGUGCAUCUGGUUCUGAUGUACCUGCCAGGUUGCCAGGGCGAUAUGGGCAUAGAUGCCUAGGCUGUGUGGCCCACCCUUGACCUGCUUGGGAUUAACAGGUCCUCUCUCAGCAGCACUAAAGCUUUUGAUUAUUUUGGAGCUCUGGGUGGCCUCUUCCCUUAAGUGAAGCCCAUGGACCUCCUCCUCACUUCUGUUAUGUCAGAGUUAAUUGCCGGGCAGUGGGGUGUCGCUCAUGGUGGGAUGGCCAAAAAAAUACUGCAGGCAAGGACAGUAUCCUCAGCAGGCAACAGGUAAGAGGAUGGCGUGGAAUUCUCUUUUUUCUUUGGUAUCUAAAGGGUCCUGAAACCUAAACUUCCUUUGAAUGGGAUGAUGCUUCGAAUUUUCUCUUCAGUGGUUCCCCAGGGACAAUACUUUUUUUUUGGUCUAGCUUAGACUGUUAGUACCCUGAGUGGGGUCCUGAAAGUAAAACUAGUGCUUUCAGUGGGCAGCUCACCCCAGGGGCACAGCUCAACAACAGAGCGUCCAGGUCAGCAGCAAAUUCCCUCUGUCCCUAAGUGUCCUGAGAACAAAUUCCCUGUGGAUGCCAUGAGAGAGUGAACUGGAGGCUACAACAGGGCUCCUGGGGGCUCUGGAGCCUCCCUACCAAGUCCAUGGUGGAGUGGAGCAGGGCUUGGGGGCAGGGAAGGAAAAAAAAAACAAUCGGUAGUUUUGGACAAAUUGAAGACCAGGAAUGUCCUGAGACUAAGGAGAUGGGAGUGAUGUUACCCUAGAUCUGAUGGGUCUGUGGUCUAAUCCACUUGUCCUGAGCAUUCUAGGAUUCCAGGAUAGAGGAAAGACCAGAGCUCUCCCAAAGUGACCAGUAAAACUGGUCCUCCAACUUGUCCUCACCCCCAUCCCCAAUCCAAAGAGAUCCACAGCACCAGAGCCUGGUAGGACCUACCUCUCAGAAUACCUGGUGGGAGAAUCUGGGGUUUCUUGAACUUAUAAACUUUGGAAAUAGACAAGAAAGGAGGCGAGCUCCCAUCUUUCAGAUUAGGAUUAGGUUAGGCCAGAAAACCUAUUCAUCACUAUACCAUCCUCAUAGGUGGCUCUUGCACGGUGGUUCAGGAUGCCAGGUAAGCUAGGGGGAGGCUGACCCAUCCCUAGCAACCCAAGUCUAUGAAAACAAAUGUUUUCUAAGAACAAAAUUCUACAGCUUUAAAGAUUUCCCUAGCUAGAGCCCAUCUACUUUUAUCGGGGUGUCUCGCAGGCAACCAGAAUCAUUUUCACCUCUUUUUCUCCUUUGUGGCAUGAGGUUGCACUUUAGGAGGUUUGUUGGAUGCUGUUUGCAGCUAGCUCCCCGUCCCUGCCCUCACCUGGCUCUUUGUAUGGAAACUUCACAUGUAAGAUCUUUACAGUGUUUUUUCUCUUCUUCUUCUUCUAUUAUUUUUGACUAGAAAAUUUGACAAGACAGUUUCAUGAACUACAUUGGACUGAUCAGCCAAAAUGCGUCUCAUUUGUAUUUGGAUAUAGCCAAGGGUGGAGUCCACGUCAGUCACUGCCUCCUGAAAUCUCACCAAGGCUUUCUCCCUGGCAGAAAUGUCUAGAAAAUCCUGCUGAGGCCAUUCCUGGGGUGGCUCAGCACUGCCCAGGCCUGUGAGAAAAGAAAGAGGGUGAAGAGUCUGGGGGGUAGCUUUGGGAAUGGGGUUAUUUAGGGGAGUUAGGAGGCUCUGCUGGACCGGAGGUCUGUGGCAGUCUCUCUGGGCUUCUGUUUGGGUUGAAUUAGGAAAGGGAACACCUUUUCUAGAAAGGGAAGGAAGAAUCACUGACUGUAUUUCACACACACACACACACACACACACACACACUUGUCAGAUCUUUUCCUAGAGUUGUAUCCUCACCACCUGCCUUGUCGUGUAAGGAGUAACAUCUGUGGUGUUUUUUUGUACCUGCUCCUAGCCUUGAACUCGAGCUCUGAAGGCCUCAUUAUCUGCUUGUUGUGCGCUGAGCUGCUCUGUGGUUCCUAAAGAGAUGCUGCAGCUACCAACUUGGAGGCGGAUUUCAGUCCUGCAAGUCUCUAGCUGCGCUGAGGAAGCAAUAGCCAAGUAAUGGGCUUAAUGGCUUGGAGAUGCCUACGUCCUCUCUGUGGUCCAGCUCAUGGCCUUUCUACCUGCACACCACACAGUCACUUGGAGAAAAUCAAGUGUAUGUACCUCUCCCUGCCGAUGGUGUAUCUGUAAGUGUGCGAAGUUCAAGCCAAUGAUCCGGGAUCCACCUUCUGCUGAGAGCCCGUCCUGGGGGCACAUCAUUCCUGAGCUCCUGGACAUGCUUCAACAAAAUAUCUCUUGUUCGUUAAAAAAGAAAACAAAGAAAGAAAGGAAGGAAGGAAGGAAGGAAGGAAGGAAGGAAGGAAGGA